AGAGUUUGAUUAUGGCUCAGGACGAACGCUGGCGGCACGCUUAACACAUGCAAGUCGAACGGACUUCAGAAUAGCUUGCUAGACUGAAGUUAGUGGCGGACGGGUGAGUAACACGUGAGCAAUCUGCCUUUCAGAGGGGGAUACCUGUUGGAAACGACAGUUAAUACCGCAUAACAUAGUAUUCUCGCAUGAGGAGAUUAUCAAAGAUUUAUCGCUGAAAGAUGAGCUCGCGUCUGAUUAGCUAGUUGGUGAGGUAACGGCUCACCAAGGCGACGAUCAGUAGCCGGACUGAGAGGUUGAACGGCCACAUUGGGACUGAGACACGGCCCAG
rnacentral:rRNA from 1 species